AAAGGAGCUCGUAGGCGGUUUGUCGCGUCUGCUGUGAAAUCCCGAGGCUCAACCUCGGGCUUGCAGUGGGUACGGGCAGACUAGAGUGCGGUAGGGGAGAUUGGAAUUCCUGGUGUAGCGGUGGAAUGCGCAGAUAUCAGGAGGAACACCGAUGGCGAAGGCAGAUCUCUGGGCCGUAACUGACGCUGAGGAGCGAAAGCAUGGGGAGCGAACAGGAUUAGAUACCCUGGUAGUCCAUGCCGUAAACGUUGGGCGCUAGAUGUAGGGACCUUUCCACGGUUUCUGUGUCGUAGCUAACGCAUUAAGCGCCCCGCCUGGGGGAGUACGGCCGCAAGGCUAAAACUCAAAGGAAUUGACGGGGGCCCGCACAAGCGGCGGAGCAUGCGGAUUAAUUCGAUGCAACGCGAAGAACCUUACCAAGGCUUGACAUACACCGGAAACGGCCAGAGAUGGUCGCCCCCUUGUGGUCGGUGUACAGGUGGUGCAUGGUUGUCGUCAGCUCGUGUCGUGAGAUGUUGGGUUAAGUCCCGCAACGAGCGCAACCCUCGUUCUAUGUUGCCAGCGGGUUAUGCCGGGGACUCAUAGGAGACUGCCGGGGUCAACUCGGAGGAAGGUGGGGAUGACGUCAAAUCAUCAUGCCCCUUAUGUCUUGGGCUUCACGCAUGCUACAAUGGCCGGUACAAAGGGCUGCGAUACCGUAAGGUGGAGCGAAUCCCAAAAAGCCGGUCUCAGUUCGGAUUGAGGUCUGCAACUCGACCUCAUGAAGUCGGAGUCGCUAGUAAUCGCAGAUCAGCAACGCUGCGGUGAAUACGUUCCCGGGCCUUGUACACACCGCCCGUCAAGUCAUGAAAGUCGGUAACACCCGAAGCCGGUGGCCUAACCCUUGUGGAAGGAGCCGUCGAAGUGAUACUU
rnacentral:rRNA from 1 species